rnacentral:rRNA from 1 species
GAUGAACGCUGGCGGCGUGCCUAAUACAUGCAAGUCGAGCGAACGGACGAGAAGCUUGCUUCCCUGCUGUUAGCGGCGGACGGGUGAGUAACACGUGGAUAACCUACUUAUAAGACUGGGAUAAUUUCGGGAAACCGGAGCUAAUAAUGGAUAAUAUUUUGAACCGCAUGGAUCAAAAGAUAAAGACGGUCUUGCUGUCAGUAUUAGCUGGAUCCGGGCUGGAUUAGCUAGUUGGUAAGGUAACGGCUUACCAAGGCAACGAUGCAUAGCCGAACUGAGAGGGUGAUCAGCCACACUGGAACUGAGACACGGUCCAGACUCCUACGGGAGGCAGCAGUAGGGAAUCUUCCGCAAUGGGCGAAAGCCUGACGGAGCAACGCCGCGUGAGUGAUGAAGGUCUUCGGAUCGUAAAACUCUGUUAUUAGGGAAGAACAGAUGUAUAUUUAACUGUGCACAUCUUGACGGUACCUAAUCAGAAAGCCACGGCUAACUUCGUG